GGACAGUAGAACCACGUCAACAAUUGAUCUUAUUCCUGUCAAUGUCCAUCCAUGCAUUUUUUUUGUAUUUGUAAGGAAAAAUGAAAAUAUAAGAGCCUUUUUGGGAGCAGUUGAGUUUGAGGGCCACAUUCCAACAAAGAUUCCUGAUCUACCCCCUUUAACUGAAGUCACAGUAUCAACACUAUUUGAAGAAAUAGAGAACCAGUGGAUGGUCUCUGACAGACUUAUUGUUAGCUAGGAGGAAGACAUGGAGGGUUCAACGCUGACACAGAGGAGGGCUGAGUGUCAGUUGAAGGAAAGGGAGAUCCAGACAGACGACAUGAUGGAGCUGGGAGCCAGGUUGGCUCUGGUGAGACAGAUCCAGAGGGAGCAGGAGAAGGAGAUGAAGAGGAUUUGGUUUGAGACGAGGAAAAUGCCAAGCCUGAUUGAGGAGAAUGUGAGAGAUGUGACCAACCGUCCACUCACUGAGUUCAUGGCUCCCUGUAUUGACUCCCUCCCACCACUGGCUUUCACCAAUCGGAGGCCUAUACCAACCAUGUUGCAUCCCCCC